UAGGGAAUCUUCGGCAAUGGACGAAAGUCUGACCGAGCAACGCCGCGUGAGUGAAGAAGGUUUUCGGAUCGUAAAACUCUGUUGUUAGAGAAGAACAAGGACGUUAGUAACUGAACGUCCCCUGACGGUAUCUAACCAGAAAGCCACGGCUAACUACGUGCCAGCAGCCGCGGUAAUACGUAGGUGGCAAGCGUUGUCCGGAUUUAUUGGGCGUAAAGCGAGCGCAGGCGGUUUCUUAAGUCUGAUGUGAAAGCCCCCGGCUCAACCGGGGAGGGUCAUUGGAAACUGGGAGACUUGAGUGCAGAAGAGGAGAGUGGAAUUCCAUGUGUAGCGGUGAAAUGAGUAGAUAUAUGGCGGAACACCAGUGGCGAAGGCGGCUCUCUGGUCUGUAACUGACGCUGAGGCUCGAAAGCGUGGGGAGCAAACAGG
rnacentral:rRNA from 1 species